UUUCCCUUUUUCCCUUUCAAAAAAGAAUUAAGCCAUGCAUGUCUAAGUACAUGCCGAAAUAAGGCGAAACCGCGAAUGGCUCAUUUAAAUCAAAAAAGUUGUAAAUAUGGUUCCUUAGAUCGUUUCUUCCUACUUGGAUAACUGUGGCAAUUCUAGAGCUAAUACAUGCAGUGAGCCUGGAGCCCUUUGGGUAACGGGUGCUUUUAUUAGACCAAGAUCGAUCGGGUUUCGGCCCGUAUUGUGUGGUGACUCUGGAUAACUUUGUGCUGAUCGCAUGGCCACGAGCCGGCGACGUUUCUUUCAAGUCUGCCACCUUACAACUUUCGAUGGUAGGUUACUUGCUUACCAUGGUUGUUACGGGUAACGGAGAAUCAGGGUUCGAUUCCGGAGAGGGAGCCUGAGAAACGGCUACCACAUCCAAGGAAGGCAGCAGGCGCGCAAAUUACCCACUCCCGGCACGGGGAGGUAGUGACGAAAAGAAUACCAGUACCCGGGGGGGGAAAAAAAAAAAAACCACUCUUUUGAGGCCCCGUAAUUGAAAUGAGUACACUCUAAAUCCUUUAACGAGGAUCAAUUGGAGGGCAAGUCUGGUGCCAGCAGCCGCGGUAAUUCCAGCUCCAAUAGCGUAUACUAAAGCUGCUGCGGUUAAAAAGCUCGUAGUUGGAUCUCAGUUCCAGACGAGUAGUGCAUCUACCCGAUGCGACGGCUCGGACUGAACAUCAUGCCGGUUCUUUCUUGGUGCACUUCAUUGUGUGCCUCGAGAUGGCCGGUGCUUUUACUUUGAAAAAAUUAGAGUGCUCAACGCAGGCGAGUCGCCUGAAUAAACUUGCAUGGAAUAAUAGAACAAGACCUCGUUUCUGUUCUGUUGGUUUUUGGAAUACGAGGUAAUGAUUAAGAGGGACGGACGGGGGCAUUCGUAUUGCGGCGCUAGAGGUGAAAUUCUUGGACCGUCGCACGAACUACUGCGAAAGCAUUUGCCAAGAAUGUGUUUUCAUUGAUCAAGAACGAAAGUCAGAGGUUCGAAGGCGAUCAGAUACCGCCCUAGUUCUGACCAUAAACGAUGCCAACCAGCGAUCCGCCUGAGUUACUCAAAUGACUCGGCGGGCAGCUUCCGGGAAACCAAAGUAUUUGGGUUCCGGGGGAAGUAUGGUUGCAAAGCUGAAACUUAAAGGAAUUGACGGAAGGGCACCACCAGGAGUGGAGCCUGCGGCUUAAUUUGACUCAACACGGGAAAACUUACCCGGCCCGGACACUGGGAGGAUUGACAGAUUGAGAGCUCUUUCUUGAUUCGGUGGAUGGUGGUGCAUGGCCGUUCUUAGUUGGUGGAGCGAUUUGUCUGGUUAAUUCCGAUAACGAACGAGACUCUAGCCUAUUAAAUAGGUGCGGGGUUCCCAGCACCUUACAACCUUCUUAGAGGGACAAGCGGCGCCUAGCCGCACGAAACAGAGCAAUAACAGGUCUGUGAUGCCCUUAGAUGUCCGGGGCCGCACGCGCGCUACACUGAAGGAAGGAAGCAUACGUACUUUAUCCCUGUCUGAAAAGACUGGGUAACCCGUGGAACUUCUUUCGUGAUUGGGAUAGGGGCUUGCAAUUGUUCCCCUUGAACGAGGAAUUCCCAGUAAGCGCGAGUCAUAAGCUCGCGUUGAUUACGUCCCUGCCCUUUGUACACACCGCCCACGUCGGCAACUACCCCGAUUGAAUUAAAAUUUUUUUUUUAUUGAUGGUCUUCGGACCGAUGUCCGGCGCGGCCUUUCGGUUGCGCCGGUCUGUUGGAAAGAUGACCAAACUUGAUCAUUUAGAGGAAGUAAAAGUCGUAACAAGGUUUCCGUAGGUGAACCUGCGGAAG
rnacentral:rRNA from 1 species